rnacentral:rRNA from 1 species
GUUACUAACGACGAUAUGCUUUGGGGAGCUGUAAGUAAGCUUUGAUCCAGAGAUUUCCGAAUGGGGAAACCCAGCAUGAGUUAUGUCAUGUUAUCGAUAUGUGAAUACAUAGCAUAUCAGAAGGCACACCCGGAGAACUGAAACAUCUUAGUACCCGGAGGAAGAGAAAGAAAAUUCGAUUCCCUUAGUAGCGGCGAGCGAAACGGGAAGAGCCCAAACCAACAAGCUUGCUUGUUGGGGUUGUAGGACACUCUAUACGGAGUUACAAAGGACGACAUUAGACGAAUCAUCUGGAAAGAUGAAUCAAAGAAGGUAAUAAUCCUGUAGUCGAAAAUGUUGUCUCUCUUGAGUGGAUCCUGAGUACGACGGAGCACGUGAAAUUCCGUCGGAAUCUGGGAGGACCAUCUCCUAAGGCUAAAUACUCUCUAGUGACCGAUAGUGAACCAGUACCGUGAGGGAAAGGUGAAAAGCACCCCGGAAGGAGAGUGAAAUAGAACCUGAAACCGUGUGCUUACAAGUAGUCAGAGCCCGUUAAUGGGUGAUGGCGUGCCUUUUGUAGAAUGAACCGGCGAGUUACGAUUUGAUGCAAGGUUAAGCAGUAAAUGUGGAGCCGUAGCGAAAGCGAGUCUGAAUAGGGCGUUUAGUAUUUGGUCGUAGACCCGAAACCAGGUGAUCUACCCUUGGUCAGGUUGAAGUUCAGGUAACACUGAAUGGAGGACCGAACCGACUUACGUUGAAAAGUGAGCGGAUGAACUGAGGGUAGCGGAGAAAUUCCAAUCGAACCUGGAGAUAGCUGGUUCUCUCCGAAAUAGCUUUAGGGCUAGCCUCAAGUGAUGAUUAUUGGAGGUAGAGCACUGUUUGGACGAGGGGCCCCUCUCGGGUUACCGAAUUCAGACAAACUCCGAAUGCCAAUUAAUUUAACUUGGGAGUCAGAACAUGGGUGAUAAGGUCCGUGUUCGAAAGGGAAACAGCCCAGACCACCAGCUAAGGUCCCAAAAUAUAUGUUAAGUGGAAAAGGAUGUGGCGUUGCCCAGACAACUAGGAUGUUGGCUUAGAAGCAGCCAUCAUUUAAAGAGUGCGUAAUAGCUCACUAGUCGAGUGACACUGCGCCGAAAAUGUACCGGGGCUAAACAUAUUACCGAAGCUGUGGAUUGUCCUUUGGACAAUGGUAGGAGAGCGUUCUAAGGGCGUUGAAGCAUGAUCGUAAGGACAUGUGGAGCGCUUAGAAGUGAGAAUGCCGGUGUGAGUAGCGAAAGACGGGUGAGAAUCCCGUCCACCGAUUGACUAAGGUUUCCAGAGGAAGGCUCGUCCGCUCUGGGUUAGUCGGGUCCUAAGCUGAGGCCGACAGGCGUAGGCGAUGGAUAACAGGUUGAUAUUCCUGUACCACCUAUAAUCGUUUUAAUCGAUGGGGGGACGCAGUAGGAUAGGCGAAGCGUGCGAUUGGAUUGCACGUCUAAGCAGUAAGGCUGAGUAUUAGGCAAAUCCGGUACUCGUUAAGGCUGAGCUGUGAUGGGGAGAAGACAUUGAGUCUUCGAGUCGUUGAUUUCACACUGCCGAGAAAAGCCUCUAGAUAGAAAAUAGGUGCCCGUACCGCAAACCGACACAGGUAGUCAAGAUGAGAAUUCUAAGGUGAGCGAGCGAACUCUCGUUAAGGAACUCGGCAAAAUGACCCCGUAACUUCGGGAGAAGGGGUGCUCUUUAGGGUUAACGCCCAGAAGAGCCGCAGUGAAUAGGCCCAAGCGACUGUUUAUCAAAAACACAGGUCUCUGCUAAACCGUAAGGUGAUGUAUAGGGGCUGACGCCUGCCCGGUGCUGGAAGGUUAAGAGGAGUGGUUAGCUUCUGCGAAGCUACGAAUCGAAGCCCCAGUAAACGGCGGCCGUAACUAUAACGGUCCUAAGGUAGCGAAAUUCCUUGUCGGGUAAGUUCCGACCCGCACGAAAGGCGUAACGAUUUGGGCACUGUCUCAACGAGAGACUCGGUGAAAUCAUAGUACCUGUGAAGAUGCAGGUUACCCGCGACAGGACGGAAAGACCCCGUGGAGCUUUACUGUAGCCUGAUAUUGAAAUUCGGCACAGCUUGUACAGGAUAGGUAGGAGCCUUUGAAACGUGAGCGCUAGCUUACGUGGAGGCGCUGGUGGGAUACUACCCUAGCUGUGUUGGCUUUCUAACCCGCACCACUUAUCGUGGUGGGAGACAGUGUCAAGCGGGCAGUUUGACUGGGGCGGGCGCCUCCUAAAAGGUAACGGAGGCGCUCAAAGGUUCCCUCAGAAUGGUUGGAAAUCAUUCAUAGAGUGUAAAGGCAUAAGGGAG